CCGCUUCUCUCUUAGUGAACCAUCUUCAUGUGCUCCUGGUAACCUCCUAUCGUUUCAUUUCCCUUCCUCUCAGUCAGCCUCAUCGGCCGGAGAAGGAAGGGGAGGAGCUCGUUCUCCUCUUUUAUUUUUUUUUCUCCCUUAGGCCUCGCUCGUUUAACUGAUCCCAAGGUGGAUCUAAUCCCUGUAGUGAUUGGGCUGAUCCCCUCUGUCACCCCAUCCCUGUUGGGAUCAAUUCCACUAGGGGAUUUAAUCCCUGCUACUUAUUGGC
rnacentral:lncRNA from 1 species